rnacentral:lncRNA from 1 species
GAAGUCAGAGACCCCCUAGAGAGCUUAUGUACUCAUGGCCUUCCAGUCAGACUCCCUAGUGAUCCUACAUAUCAAUGGCCUUCCACUCAGAGACCCCCUAGUAAGCCCACGUACCCAUGGGCAUCUAGUCAGAGACCACCUAGAGAGUUAUUGUACCCAUAUUCUCAACUCAGAGACCCCCUAGUGAGCCUACGUACCCAUAGCCUUCCACUUAGGGACCCUCUAGUGAGCCUAUGUAGCUAUGAAUUUGCAGUCAGAGACCCUCUACUGAUCCUACAUACCCAUGGCAUUCUACUCAGAGACCACCUAGUGAGCCUAAGUACCCAUGGCGUAAGCAUCAGAGGCCCCCUAGUGAACCUACAUAACCAUGGUCUUUCAGUCAGACAUACCCUAGUAAGCUUACUUACCCAUGGCCUUCUAGUCAGAGUCCACCUAGAGAGUUAUGUUUCUCAUACCUCUCAAAUCAGAGACCUCCUAGGGAGCCUAUGGAUUCAUGGCCUUCCAGUGAGAGACCCCUUAUUUAGCCUACGUACCCAUGGGCUUCCAGUCAGAGACCCCCUAGUUAGCCUAUUUACCCAUGGUUUUUGGGUCAGAGACACCCUAGUGAGCUUACACACCCAUGGCCUACAAGCAAGAGAACCCCUAGUGAGCUUACAUACCCAUGGCCUUCCAGUCAGAGACCCCCUACUUAGCCUAAGUACCCAUGGUGUUUUGGUCAGAGACCCCCUAUUGAGCCUACGUACCCAUGGUCUUUCAGUCAGAGACCCCCUAGUGAACCUAUAUAUCCAUGGCCUUCCAGUCAGAGACCCCCUAGUGAGCCUACAUACCCAUGGCCUUCCAGUCAGAGACCCCCUAGUUAGCCCAUGUACCCAUGGUUUUUCAGUCAGAGACACCUUAGUGAGCUUACACACCCAUGGCCUACCAGCAAGAGACCCCCUAGUGAGCUUACAUACCCAUGGCCUUCCAGUCAGAGACCCCCUAGUGAGCCCAUGUGCCCAUAGCCUUUUAGUCAGAGACCACCUAUUGAGUCUACAUAUCCAUAGCCUUCCAGUCAGAGACCCCCUAGUGUGGCUAUAUAUCCAUGGCCUUCAGUCACAGACCCCCUAG